CCUACGGGUGACUGCAGUGGGGAAUAUUGGACAAUGGGGGCAACCCUGAUCCAGCCAUGCCGCGUGUGUGAAGAAGGCCCUCGGGUUGUAAAGCACUUUCAGUGAGGAAGAACGCCUGGUGGUUAAUACCCAUCAGGAAAGACAUCACUCACAGAAGAAGCACCGGCUAACUCCGUGCCAGCAGCCGCGGUAAUACGGAGGGUGCGAGCGUUAAUCGGAAUUACUGGGCGUAAAGCGCGCGUAGGUGGCUUGAUAAGCCGGUUGUGAAAGCCCCGGGCUCAACCUGGGAACGGCAUCCGGAACUGUCAAGCUAGAGUGCAGGAGAGGAAGGUAGAAUUCCCGGUGUAGCGGUGAAAUGCGUAGAGAUCGGGAGGAAUACCAGUGGCGAAGGCGGCCUUCUGGACUGACACUGACACUGAGGUGCGAAAGCGUGGGUAGCAAACAGGAUUAGAUACCCCGGUAGUC
rnacentral:rRNA from 1 species